GACGUAGGGGGCCAGCGUUGUUCGGAAUUACUGGGUGUAAAGGGUCAGUAGGCGGUGCGGCAAGUCGGGAGUGAAAUCUCUGGGCUUAACCCAGAGGCUGCUUCCGAAACUGCUGUGCUUGAGUGUGGGAGAGGCGCGUGGAAUUGCAGGUGUAGCGGUGAAAUGCGUAGAUAUCUGCAGGAACACCCGUGGCGAAAGCGGCGCGCUGGACCACAACUGACGCUGAGGUGCGAAAGCGUGGGGAGCAAACAGG
rnacentral:rRNA from 1 species